rnacentral:rRNA from 1 species
UAGGGAAUCUUCCGCAAUGGGCGAAAGCCUGACGGAGCAACGCCGCGUGAGUGAUGAAGGUCUUCGGAUCGUAAAACUCUGUUAUUAGGGAAGAACAAAUGUGUAAGUAACUAUGCACGUCUUGACGGUACCUAAUCAGAAAGCCACGGCUAACUACGUGCCAGCAGCCGCGGUAAUACGUAGGUGGCAAGCGUUAUCCGGAAUUAUUGGGCGUAAAGCGCGCGUAGGCGGUUUUUUAAGUCUGAUGUGAAAGCCCACGGCUCAACCGUGGAGGGUCAUUGGAAACUGGAAAACUUGAGUGCAGAAGAGGAAAGUGGAAUUCCAUGUGUAGCGGUGAAAUGCGCAGAGAUAUGGAGGAACACCAGUGGCGAAGGCGUCUUUCUGUUCUGUAACUGACGCUGAUGUGCGAAAGCGUGGGGAUCAAACCGG